CCAGCUCGAGCAAGGUCCUCCUUUUGGGUGUCCAUCAGUCCUUCAGGCUGUCGUCUCCCACCUCUGGAGAGAUCUGGGCUAGCUUCCUCUCCGCCUCUCUCUGUUCAGCAUUCAUGCGUUUGAGAAAACUGCCCCUCUGACAAACGGAUGGCCACAAGCGGAAACUUUGGAAAAGAGACUUGACGCUGCAAACAAUAAAGAGACCACUCUAGAAGAAAGUUGAAAACUGGACAGUGAGGACCCCUACCCCCAGCAAGCAGAGACUCACAGGGAGACACUGCCACUCUGGAUGUCAGAGAAUCGUCUUGAAGCUCUUCCCAACUCCCAGCACACCUAACACCCUCUCCAAUAUCACACACACAAAGUUAGUUAAAGUCAUCACAUGGUGUUUGGAAGACACAAGGGAGGCAACACCAGACUUUGGAAUCCUCUGAAGGUAAGCUACCCAUGGGCAUUCUUACUGGGAUGCUAACCCCUAUGCAUGAGGCAGCAUCAGGCCCACACACAGCUCCUUUACCUCCUAACAGAGGUCUGGGCCACGCACACACACUAGCCCACU